CCGUUAGUGGCGCACGGGUGCGUAACGCGUGGGAAUCUGCCCUUGGGUUCGGAAUAACAGUGAGAAAUUACUGCUAAUACCGGAUGAUGACUUCGGUCCAAAGAUUUAUCGCCCAAGGAUGAGCCCGCGUAAGAUUAGCUAGUUGGUGAGGUAAGGGCUCACCAAGGCGACGAUCUUUAGCUGGUCUGAGAGGAUGAUCAGCCACACUGGGACUGAGACACGGCCCAG
rnacentral:rRNA from 1 species